CCAGACUCCUACGGGAGGCAGCAGUGGGGAAUAUUGGGCAAUGGGCGCAAGCCUGACCCAGCAACGCCGCGUGAAGGAAGAAGGCCCUCGGGUUGUAAACUUCUUUUAUCAGGGACGAAACAAAUGACGGUACCUGAUGAAUAAGCCACGGCUAACUACGUGCCAGCAGCCGCGGUAAUACGUAGGUGGCAAGCGUUAUCCGGAUUUACUGGGUGUAAAGGGCGUGUAGGCGGGUCUGCAAGUCAGAUGUGAAAUCUCAUGGCUCAACCAUGGAACUGCAUUUGAAACUGUAGAUCUUGAGUGAUGGAGAGGCAGGCGGAAUUCCGUGUGUAGCGGUGAAAUGCGUAGAUAUCGCGCAGAACCCCGAUUGCGAAGGCAGCGUACCGGCUCCACACUGACGCUGAGGCACGAAAGCGUGGGUAUCGAACAGGAUUAGAUACCCCAGUA
rnacentral:rRNA from 1 species